rnacentral:ncRNA from 1 species
AGCUUGAUUAUAACAAUAAGGCACCUCGGUGAAGACACAAGACCAUGUGGCCGAGACAUUACCUUCGCUUUCGAGCGUACUACGCAUUUCUACUCAGAGGGAUACCUUUGUUUAGAUGUGCUUCGGAGAGUCGUGAGAUUUUCUGAUUGCGGGAGGCUGAACCAACCGCUGUUAGAGGUAAUGGUGCUGAAGUAAUUGCUGAUAAAAACAUUGUCUCAUUGCUAUCGCAAUAGAAAGCUAGGCGUCAAAAGCGUAAGCCGAAUCCAAGUAAGGGUGUAGAUUGGUCGUCUAUACUAAACCUUGGAAAAGACCAAUAAGGUAGUUUGCUGUGAUGGUAUGGAAACAUACCUAUAAGAUGAGGUCAAAGUCCGAGUAGCUACAAGCAAGGACUCUUGUAAAAAAGAAAUUACUAAGGAAAUUUCUGAAUGGUUAGUGAAAGGUGCGAGUAACCAAUCUCGUAUAGGAAUUGAUACUUUGUAUCGGGGCAAGAACUUAUAGAGCGACGGCUCUAUGGGUCAGACUUGUCUCCCUAUUGGUUGAAUAUAUCAGAAAAUUAUGGAGGUAGGGUGAAGGCCCGCCUUGUAGUUAUAAUCAAG